rnacentral:rRNA from 1 species
GACAGAGGGUGCAAACGUUGUUCGGAAUUACUGGGCGUAAAGCGCGUGUAGGCGGCUAAGUAAGUCGGGCGUGAAAUCCCACGGCUCAACCGUGGAAGUGCACUCGAAACUGACAUAGCUAGAGUCCUGGAGAGGAAGGUGGAAUGCUUGGUGUAGAGGUGAAAUUCGUAGAUAUCAAGCGGAACACCGGUGGCGAAGGCGGCCU